UACGUAGGGGGCUAGCGUUGUCCGGAAUCAUUGGGCGUAAAGGGCGCGUAGGCGGCCUGUUAAGUCGAACGUGAAAUCCCCGGGCUCAACCCGGGAACUGCGUCCGAUACUGGCAGGCUUGAAUCCGGGAGAGGGAUACGGAAUUCCAGGUGUAGCGGUGAAAUGCGUAGAUAUCUGGAGGAACACCGGUGGCGAAGGCGGCAUCCUGGACCGGUAUUGACGCUGAGGCGCGAAAGCCAGGGGAGCAAACGGG
rnacentral:rRNA from 1 species